AAUCUUAGUUUCUGACAAAACAGACUUUGAAUCAACAAAGAUAAAAAAAGACAAAGAAGAACAUCACAAUGAUAAAGGAAUCAAUUCAACAAGAAGAGCUAACUAUCCUAAAUAUGUAUGCACCCAAUACAGGAGAACCCAGAUUCACAAAACAAGUUCUUAGAGACCUACAAAGAGACUCAGGCUACCACACAACAAUAGUGGGAGACAUUAACACCCCAUUGUCAAUAUUGGAUCAUCUAGGCAGAAAAUUGACCAGAAAGGACUUGAACACAGCUCUGGAUCAAGUGAAUCUCAUAGAUAUCUACAGAACUCUCCAACACGAAACAACAGACUAUAUAUUAUUCUUAGUGGCAUAUGACACUCUAAAAUUGAUCACAAAAUUAGAAUUAAAACACUCCUCAGCAAAUGCAAAAUAACUGAAAUCAUAACAAUCUCUCAGACCACAGUGCAAUCAAAUUAGAACUCAAGAUUAAGAAACUCACUCAAAACCACACAACUACAUGGAUAUUGAACAACGUGCUCCUGAGUGACUUCUGGGUAAAUAAUAAAAUUAAGGCAGAAAUCAAGAAGCUCUUUGAAACCAAUGAGAACAAAGAGACAAUGUACCAGAAUCUCUGGGAGGCAACUAAAGCAGUGUUAAGAGGUGAUGGCAUCAGCUGAGAAGGGAAGGAAGCCCAUGAGAGGACACUGAAGAAGGAGUGAGCAGACAAUAAGAAGCCCACAGAAGACAGAGAAGGAACAACUAGAGGGAGAAGCCAAGGCAGGCGUGUGUGUUUCUCCACAGACACUACCCAAAGCAGUGCUUCACUACAGUGGCAGACAGACCUGAAAAUUUUCAUCUGAAGCAGCAGAGUGAACUGCAGAGGCAGGUCACCAACCAGUGUGGAGGCUAAAAGCGGGCCUCUUUGGGGAUUCCAGGUGGAAGUGUUGGACAUCUGUAGUAUUCCUGGUCUCGAAUCAUCCUGAUAUUCUUCAUUUUGUUAUUCACAUUGGACUAGGAGAUAGAAUCUCACUAUGUUGACCAGGCUGGUCUUGAACUCUUGGCACCCAAGCGAUCCUUUUGCCUGGAAUCCCAAAGUGUCAGAUUUACUGAAGAAUAUUUCAUUGUAAUUACUUUUUAUACUUUAUAGGUCAAGAGCUCUGUUUUAAAUACAAAAUUUAUUGAAUAUACUUUUUCAAACAAAGUUUCAUGUUCUAAUCAUUGUCUGAUUUCAGCAUUAAAUGAAACACAGUAAAGAAA
rnacentral:lncRNA from 1 species